rnacentral:rRNA from 1 species
AGUGAACGCUGGCGGUAGGCCUAACACAUGCAAGUCGAACGGCAGCACAGUAAGAGCUUGCUCUUACGGGUGGCGAGUGGCGGACGGGUGAGGAAUACAUCGGAAUCUACUUUUUCGUGGGGGAUAACGUAGGGAAACUUACGCUAAUACCGCAUACGACCUACGGGUGAAAGCAGGGGAUCUUCGGACCUUGCGCGAUUGAAUGAGCCGAUGUCGUAUUAGCUAGUUGGCGGGGUAAAGGCCCACCAAGGCGACGAUCCGUAGCUGGUCUGAGAGGAUGAUCAGCCACACUGGAACUGAGACACGGGCCAGACGGCUACGGGAGGCAGCAGUGGGGAAUAUUGGACAAUGGGCGCAAGCCUGAUCCAGCCAUGCCGCGUGGGUGAAGAAGGCCUUCGGGUUGUAAAGACCUUUUGUUGGGAAAGAAAAGCAGCAGGUUAAUACCCCGCUGUUCUGACGGUACCCAAAGAAUAAGCACCGGCUAACUUCGUG